CCAAUCAAAGCCCCAAGGUUGGUCGGCGGCUACAUAAAAGAAUUUAUUCUUCCAUGCAUGGAUAGAAGAAGGAAGCCUGAUAAUAAACUAAUGACAAUACCAGAGACUGAAGAACCACCAUCCUCAUUUUUUAGAAUAUUUUUUCAACAUAAAAAGAGCAUGAAAAAGAGAAAUUUAUGGCUCAAAAUAAAGAAAAUGAUAAAGAACAACAAUUUGUCAUCAAAAGAAGACAAAAUCUUAAUGGAGCUGGGGGUGAGAUGGGGAGGAACAACCUCAUACAGAUCAAAAAUAUUUACAAAGAAAGGAUAUAUAGAAAAUCAAAGUUUCGAGUAGAGGAACUCCUCAUAGGCGGCAAUGUAGCUGUCCGGAGGGUGGAGAACCCAACCAUCUUCAUCAGACGCCAUCAACCAAUACUGACUGGGGAUGUGGUAAUGAUCUCUUAGCCGUUUAAUAUCGACCUCAGACAAUUUGGACCUCUCGUGAAGAGGCCCAAGAAGACUCUUGGGAGUUGGCUGUUUAUCCAACUCUCCAAGACCAGACCGAUCCUGUUGAGAAGCGACAUAUUUGGGAUCAUCCCGAAGAACAUCCUCGAUCUUCCUCUGGACAGUUGAAGUCCGAGAAUCUUGGUCUUCCAUCAUGUUCUUGUCUCCAGACUCUCUACCAGGUGAAACCAUUCUUAUGGCAAAAACCUAA
rnacentral:lncRNA from 1 species